rnacentral:rRNA from 1 species
UACAGAGGUCUCAAGCGUUGUUCGGAUUCAUUGGGCGUAAAGGGUGUGUAGGUGGCGCGCUAAGUCGGGUGUGAAAUUUCGGAGCUUAACUCCGAAACUGCAUUCGAUACUGGCGUGCUUGAGGACUGGAGAGGAGACUGGAAUUUUACGGUGUAGCAGUGAAAUGCGUAGAGAUCGUAAGGAAGACCAGUGGCGAAGGCGGGUCUCUGGACAGUUCCUGACGCUGAGGCACGAAGGUCAGGGGAGCAAACGGG